rnacentral:rRNA from 1 species
CCUACGGGGGGCUGCAGUGGGGAAUAUUGGACAAUGGGGGGAACCCUGAUCCAGCCAUGCCGCGUGUGUGAAGAAGGCCCUCGGGUUGUAAAGCACUUUCAGUGAGGAAGAACGCCUGGUGGUUAAUACCCAUCAGGAAAGACAUCACUCACAGAAGAAGCACCGGCUAACUCCGUGCCAGCAGCCGCGGUAAUACGGAGGGUGCGAGCGUUAAUCGGAAUUACUGGGCGUAAAGCGCGCGUAGGUGGCUUGAUAAGCCGGUUGUGAAAGCCCCGGGCUCAACCUGGGAACGGCAUCCGGAACUGUCAAGCUAGAGUGCAGGAGAGGAAGGUAGAAUUCCCGGUGUAGCGGUGAAAUGCGUAGAGAUCGGGAGGAAUACCAGUGGCGAAGGCGGCCUUCUGGACUGAUACUGACACUGAGGUGCGAAAGCGUGGGUAGCAAACAGGAUUAGAUACCCGAGUAGUC